CCUAAACAUGUCUUUAAAACAAUUUUCAGCUUCUCACAAAGGUCAGACCUUUCAAAAAUAACCGGCGAGUUCAAGUUUAAUUCGUGGAGGCAAAACACAUCUUUUGAAGGAGAUUCCUACGAAAUGAUUUUAGCCGACCAAAUGGGUAACAAGAUCCAUGCAUCUUGCAAAAAGACUCACAUGUAUCGAGUUCAAAGUGGCCUACCUAUAGGCGGAUGGGGAGGCAAUUGACAAAAUGAACAUCUCUGGGGCUGGUGGUUCAUAUCGAACAACAAGGCAUCCGUAUAAGAUGACUAUCACAGAUGAGUCAGUGAUAUCACGUUCAGAUUUAACUGAUGAAAGCCUGUUCCUGUCUCUUGCCAAUUAUGAAAAGAUACAAAAUUGUAUAAAGACAGACUUCCUUAUAGAUAUAAUAGGGGAAGAGUUCAUGAACUAGGAGUUGUUCAAACCGUGCAAGUGUCAGGUCAAGACAGAAAAAGGAUUGAAUUCCGCUUAGUUGACACAAAUGCAAAUGGUCUUGCAUGUUGUCUAUGGGGAACUUGUGAGAACGUUUUACUGAGGAAGGAAAUGAUCAACCUAUAGUUUGUUUGAUCAGUUUUGCAAAAAUUGGCUUCUUCAGAGGUAUUUAUUUAGCUUCUUCAAAUCUUUCUGAAUACCUUAUACGAUUGUUCCUAAUGUAAAUUAUAUAAUUAUUAGGUGAGGUACAAAUUAAACAAUAACGUACC